UUUAAAGGUAAAACUGUGUGUCUGUGUCUUUAAUUCAAACUCCCUGAAAAUUUUCCUGUGUGACCGAACCAUUCCCCUCUGCACUGGCCGCGGACUAAAUGUGGCACCCAAUGUGGGGCAUGCAGGUUAAAUUCUAGGUUGAGUGGAGAAGCACGCCAUAUAAAUUUAUUGGAUUGUGACAAAUUGUUGUAAGGAGGUAGCAGACAGUUUGGAGCCAAGGAUGUUAAAGAUUAAUAAUGGGAAAUUCAGCUUCAACAGAUAAGGACAUGUAUUUAACUAUUUUGGAGACUGUAAAUAAUCAAAUAGGAAAACAGGUCAAAAAGAGCCAGCUAGCACAGUUUUUAAAGAUGGUUGGUGAGUUUUGUCCAUGGUUUUGUGAUCAAGAUUUACGUACUUGGGAGAGAGAUUAGGAAGAAAAUUACAUAAAGCUUGUCUGUCUACUGAAUUACCCAACAGUACUAUCAAUAAUAUUCAGAGGAUUUGGACUACAUUAGAAAUUUGCUUCUUUGAUGACUUGGGCCAGAAUCCAUGGCCCCCAGAAGAUCUAUUGAAAGGGAUUCAAAGAGCAAUCAAAUCUAUAGAAAUGAAAAAACUGCCUGAGGCUAAAAUAAUCUAUCUUCCUUUAUCGAAUUUGAGAGCAGAAUCAAAUUCCUUUCAAAUUACCCAUCAGGGGAAUAACCUUGGAGCCAGACCCAAAACUGAGAGGUUAGCUCCACUUGAGCUAGACCCGAUUAGUCACUUAGGAAAACAUCUUUCCUGAAAUCCCAGAGGAAAACCAUAUAGAAAAGCCUCCAGAGGGAUAGAUAAUCCUCCUCAGAGGGAAGAGAACCACCAAGAGAGAAUUUCUAGAGAGGUGGAGAAUCCUCCUCCUCAGAGCUUUGGGAAACAAAGCCAAGAUGGUGGAGAGGAAGGAGACACGGAUGAGUCUCAGACCAAAGGAGAUAAGUCAGACAGUGAAAUCCAGGAAUUACCAGGAAAUUUUAACAGAUUACAUCUAGCAGGGCCUGCUCCAGCCAUUUAGAUUCAGCUGCUUCCAGUUAGGACAAAUUUUAAUAGGUACUCUGAGCUAGCAAUGACCUUCCUUACACCGUUACAACAUGGAUUCAGGAGAGCUCAGGAGGCUGGUGAGGACUUUAGUGGAUUUCAAUUUUUCCCAGUUUUUGAACAGGUUAUCAAUCAAGACCAGUGAGUCCGCGUUCAUGCUGUAAUACCAUUUAAAACUAUCAAGGAGUUAAAAAAUGCUUGUGAUGUAUAUGGUCCUAAUUCGCCAUUUAUGCAAAGCUUGCUUGAGACAAUUUGUCAUCAGCCACUCCCUCCAAGUGACUGAUUCUCUAUUGCAUGAUCUUGUUUUAGCGGUGGAGAUUUUUUGCUUUGGAGGUCAUAUUGGUCCGAUUAUUGUUCGGAGCAAGCAGAGAGAAAUAGAAGGCAAAAUAUUGAAACCCCCUUAGAAAUGCUUUUGGGGACGGGUAAAUUUGUAGACUUGGAAAGAUAGUUGAAUUACGCAUUUGCAGUUUAUGAUCAGAUAACCACAUGUGCUAAACACUCUUGAUGACAAAUUAACUCCCAGGACCAGUCUAGUUUGGUUUUAACUAAGGUAAAACACAGAUAAACUUUACUCAGACAUUGUGGCCCACCUGUAUCAGACGACUAACAGGUCAAUCGGAGACCCAGGUGCUUGUGAAUUUAUCAUCAAGCAGUUAGCAUUUGAAAAUGCAAAUAAACUUUGUCAGAUGUUCUCAGACCCCAUAGGAAGAAAGGAACAGUUUCAGAAUUCAUUCGCUUGUGCUCAGAUAUUGGCCCAGCUCAAUUACAAAGCUUUACCCUUGCAGCCACCUUGAAACAAGCAUUUCAACCUCAGUAGACAGUACACCAGUCCCGCAGACAAUAUUUUAAUUGUGGGAGAAAUGGUCAUUUUAUGUGAGCCUGUGAAAUUCAGUGCCAUAAGGCCAGGGCUCUUCCUGUUUCAUCAGCGCCAUUGCGAGAGACCACAUGGCGGGGGAGAAAAUCAACCAAUAUGGCGUCAGUCCACCUCCAUUUUGGCCUUCACUUCUUCCUAAUAGGGAGUCAAAAAACUUCCCAUUGGCCCCUCCUGGGGCUGAAAAAACAGGGGAAACAAAAGAGAGGUUGCAGGGCCUGACGUUAUCCCAGCCGCAUUUUUACUGGCACGAACCACCCAGACAAUCCUUUUAUGACCAGCAAUGGUAAACUGACUUAGUGCCUAAAAUGGGACCACAACAAAUUCCUACCGGAGUUUUUGAGCCAUUUCCUGCAGGAAAUAUAGGGUUAAUCUUGGGACAUAGCAACUUAAAACAGGCAAUCCAGGUGCUACCAGGAGUUGUGGACUCUUAUUUUAGUGGUGAGAUAACAGUUACUGUAAAAUCAGACCAUGCCAUCCGGCUUUCUACUGAGAAUACAAUAGCUCAAUUGAUUCUUUUGCCCUGUUAUUCCGUCGAUUGUCUGGAUAGAACCUCAAUUCCCAAAUUGCUGGACAGAGUGUACUGGGCUUAAUUAGUAUGACAGGAGUGCCCCCUGAUGGAACUCAAAAUUAAUCAUAAAAAAUUCAAAGGGGAGUUAAACACUGGAGUGGACAGGUCCGUCUUGUCUCACGAAUUCUGGCCUAAAACGUGGCCCUUACUGCUGGGUUUCUGUUCAUGACUAAAAGGCUCAGGGGUCACUCCAGUUGAACUGGGCUAACUGGGCUGCACAAAAUAACCACACAAGAGACAUAAACACCUUUUUCUUUGGGGUAGCUAUGACGGUUCCUCUGACCUUAAGGGUUCCCAGGAAGAGAGAGCGAGAGCACAUGCUGACCCCUUUUAUUGAGGAGAAGCUAUUCAAAUGAGGCAAGGGGUCAGGUUUUAGGGGGCUGAGUCUAUCUUCAUGAUGUCCACUGUCAGCAGGUUGACUGACACCUGGGUAGGUCACACACAAGGGCACAGUAAGAGAAGGGGACACACACACAAGGCACUUCCAGGAACAUUCUAUCCUAAACAGGGCAAGGGGUAAUAUUAGAAAGGAACAGGUGAGCGUAGCUUCACUCAUGGGGCGGUAGCAAGACACACAUGCACGAGACACUGACCCUUGAACCCAAGAAGGGUGGGGAAAGCUCUGCCAUAUUUCUGUGACUGAGUGCCUCAGCACCCAGCCAGAGAGUAUAACUCAGUCAUGUGUAAGGUUGGUCUCCCACACCCUACAUAUAGCGCCAGCCAAUUAAGAAGGAUUAGGACAGAUUUCACAGCCUGCCCAGAGUGCCCUCGCUGGGAGUACCAAGAUGGAAAUAGUAGAGUUUUUAAGCCAUAUGUGUUAGAUGCUUUAAGGGGAUUUAUGGGGAAGGGAUAUACUAAGCAAAUUAGGAUUAUUAUUGAUAACUCCAAAUUCUAUGAGGUCAUUUGAGGAAUUUAAUCAAGGGUUUCUUCCUAGGGAUAGUGAAAGAAAUUUUCAGGACGAAUAUCUGCUUACAAACCAGUCUUCUAGACAGGGAUUAAUAAAUGCUUCAGACCAAAAUUUUUAUUAGGGGCCCUGAGUGUCUCCCUGAUCCAGAAGACAGCAGAAAAUAUCACCUGGAUCACAGAAUAACCGAUAUGUAUUUCUCAGUGGCCUAUCCCAGGGGAGAAACUUAAGAUAAUUCAUAUGUUUGUUAAGGAACAACUUCAAGCUGGUCAUAUAGAAUCAAUGCUUAGCCCUUGGAACACCCCCAUUUUUGUUAUUAAGAAAAAAUCAGGUAGUUGGAGGUUAUUACAGGAUCUAAGGGCCAUAAAUCAUGCAAUUCAGCCCAUGGGAUCAUUACAGUCUGGACUUCCUUCCCCUACAGCUAUUCCUUUGGAUUAUAGCUUAAUGGUAAUAGACCUGAAAGAUUGUUUCUUUUCAAUAAAAUUACAUCCUGAGGAUUAUGAAGAAUUUGCUUUCAGUGUCCCAGCAAUUAAUUUUAAAGAACCAGUUAUGAAUAUUGCUGGAAGGCUUUGCCUCUAACUGCUCCUGCUCCCACAGGAGCUAUAUGGCAAAUAUCAGGAGUUGUUAAGUGGAUUCAUUUAGCCCACUCUCCCCAAAAGAGAUUAAUUCCUUUUCAUGACUCUAUUGCUCAAUCAGUAAUAAAAGGCAGAACAAGAGUUUUACAACUAGUUGGAUCAGAACCUGAUAUUAUAAUCAUUCCAUUUUCUGUUCAACAGAAUAAUUGGCUUUUUCAAGCUUCUAAUUUAUGGCAAAUAGCUUUUGCUUAUUUUCCUGGUCAGAUAGAAAGCCAUUAUCCUCAUGAUAAAAUUAUUCAAUUUGCAUUAAUAACGCCGUUUACUUUUCCAAAGAUUGUAUGUGCACAACCAAUAGACCCUAACCCUAACCCUAACAGUGUUCACUGAUGGCUCAAGUUCAGGUAAAGCAGGUUUUUAAGUUGUGUUCAUAUGAUACAAACCUCAUAUGCUUCUGCCCAAAGAGCAGAGCUACAAGCUCUCAUUUGUGCCUUAGAUUACUUUGCAAAUUAGCCUAUUAACAUUUAUUCUGACAGCUUAUAUGCAGUCAUUAUAAAAAUGCAGUCAUUUCAAUAUAAAAAUAUUGAAACUUCAGUUUUGGGGUACACAUCAUCACAAGAGCUAUUUAAAUUAUUUCAUAACCUACAAAGGGUGGUGCAAAUGCAAAAGCACCAUGUUUUAUAAACCUCAUACAGGCUUAUACUAAUUUUCCAGGACCUCUGACUUCAGGUAAUGAAAAAAUUGAUAAAUUGGUAGCUGUUUGUCAGCAAAUGUCUUUUUAUGAUAGUGCACAAGCUUCACAUUCUUUAAAUCAUCAAAAUGCUUCUAGUUCACAUAAAAAAUUUAACAUUACCAGAGAACAAGCUCAUCAAAUUGUAAGUCAUUGCCCCAAGUGUGUUAUUCACACUCCAUCUCUGCCAUCAGGGGUAAAUCCCUGUGGAUUAAAAUCAAAUCAAUUAUGGCAAAUGGAUGUAACUCAUGUUCCUCAAUUUGGUAAGCAGUGUUUUGUCCGUGUAACAGAUUUAUUUUUGCUACAGCCCAUGCAAAGAAAAAUGCUCAACAUGUCAUUUCUCACUGCCUAGCUGCCUUUGCAGUAUUAGGAUGUCCUUUACAGAUUAAAACAGAUAAUGCAACAGCUUAUGUAAGUUCUUCUUUUCAACAAUUUUGCCAAGAAUUUCAGAUUGACCAUAAAACAGGUAUUCCUUAUAACCCCCAAAGUCAAGCCAUUAUAGAAUGAGCUAAUUUAUCUAUUAAGCUGCAAUUACAGAAAUUAAAAGGGGGGAUAGGACUAUGACCCCCCCCAAAAAAAUAACCUCAAUCAUGCACUGUUUGUUUUAAUUUUUUUUAAAUUGUGACGUGGAAGAUUACACAGCAGCUGAGAGACAUGUCUUCCACAGCAACAGGCCCUUUAGGCUGAGUUUUGUGGAAAGACUUAUGGACUGGUCAAUGAAAAGGACCAUAUCCAGUGAUUAUGUGGGGCAGAGGUCAUGCUUGUAUUUUUCCAGAAAGUGCUUUUCAUCCUAUUUGAGUGCCUGAAUGCACAAUCAGUCAUGGAGGAAAUAGAACCAAGAUUCAAAUGACUGAAGAUCGACUCAGAGAAGCCUUCCCUCAAAAGAAAGAGAUUUUGAAAAAAGAAGAUGAUCCAGCAAGAUUCAGCAGAAAAGCUGUUCUCAUGGGAAGACCUGAAGAAACUGACAACACACGCUUUGUGAAUGAUUCGGCUCUUAGGGAGAAAUAAGACUCCAAUGAUGAUGCUUGCCAUGGUAAUAGCAUUACUUGGCUGUCAGGUAAAAGGGAGUCAAGCAAACACUUAUUGGACCUAUUUCUAAGAUCCACCUUUAGUACACCCAGCCUUGAUGACUGGAGAAUCCAUCCCAGUGUUUACUAAUGACUCAUUCAUGAUGGGAGGAUUUACAGAUACUCAUAUUACUCCCAAUCAUGUGACUAGAUUUAAUUAUUCUGCCUAUAGUGCCCAAUUACCUUUGUGUUGGUCCCACGAUAAACAUGCUGGAUGUCUAAGAGUAUCAUCUGAGGAAAAGAUAGCAGUUGGGAAACCUAGACUAAUUAAUUGUACUAUUAAUGGAGACUUAAAACCUUAUACUAGAUCAGUUAUUAAAAUGGGACUUUCUCAUAACAAACCAGUCAUUUCUGCAGAACCUCCAUGAGGUUCCUAAUUGUCCUAAUAGUUCUGCAAUAGAAAUUGGCACCUUUCCUAGAUGGAUAGAUUGUGUAAAUACCUUUCCAGUACAACAUAAGGUGUCUAAAGAUAGUGGGUAUAUUUUAGAAUGGUCUCCAAAAGUUGAUAAAAGAAAAUUAUGAAAAAGUUUUGCUAUGACACCUGCAGGAUUUGUUAGCAAUAUUUUGACCUGGAGUAAAGGUGGUAUUCAAAAGGAUGUUUGGCACUUAAUUGCUGCCUGAGAAUUUUUACAUUUUACAGAUAAGCCUUUACCAGAAUUUGUGGGCAAGAGUUGUAAGGAAGGUUCUUGCUAUGGCUUAUGAGCCUGUGUUCAAUCUCCUUAUGUUUUAAUUAUUGGAAAUGUGAAAGUUAAAUGGGUAGAUAAUAGAUAUAUUGUAACAUGUAACAAAUAUAAUCUAAAUAAUUGCAUUACCAGAUAUAAAAGAGGAAAAGGAGUGCUGAUACUUCAUCAGCCCUCCUUUGUCUUAUUGCCAGCUAAUAUUUCAGAGCCAUGGUAUGCUGAUGGCAUGUAUUACAACAAAUACAUGCCCAACUAGUGAGACCUAAACAUGCCAUUAGAAUUAUAAUAGUGAGAGUUGUUGCCUUGGUUUCCUUUAUUGCCUUGACAGUCACAGCUUCAGUGGUGGCUAUAUCUCAAAAUAGUCAACAUGCAAAUUUUCUUAAUAAUUUGGCUCAGAAUACUUCCAAGGCUCUUCACAAUCAAAUAAACAUUGAUGAAAGGAUUGAGACUAAGUUAUAUACCUUACAGGCAACUGUCAUAAAUAUAGGUAAUGAGCUUUCAGCUUUAAAGUUUAAAGAAAGACUCAAAUGUCACGCAAGUUAUAAAUAUGUGUGUGUUACAGCCGCCAAGUACAAUACCUCCCUGUGGGAUUGGGAGGAGUUUAAAAACCAUAUAUUGGGUAUUUGGCAAAAUAAUAAUAACAGCUUGGAUCUUUUGGAGCUCCAUCAUCAUAUUCAGGAUAUUCAAAAUAAUAGAGCUGAUUUUUCAGAUCCUUCUUCCUUAGCUAAUCAAAUAUUAAAAGAAUUAAAUGGCUUUAACCUCAGAAACAUUCUUAAAAACUCUGCCUGAUAUAUUUUUGCAUUGUUCUCUUUGCUCUUAAUUCUCUUUUGUGUUGUAAUUAUAGGAUGGCAAGUCUUCAAAGCAAGAAUUUGGGGACUCAAGAGAGUAAAUCAUCACCUGCUUUUUCAAAGAAAGAAGGGGGAAUAUGUGGAAGACCAUCCUUGCACAUGACUGAGUUGCCUCCCAGGCUGGGUGUGAGGCAGUCAGUUGCAGAAAUGUGGCAGAGCUUUCCUCACCCUUCUUGGUUUUGAGAACAUAUCCCUGUGGAGGCAUGCCUUACCACUAUUCCAGGGAUUCAAUCACUUCAUCUGACAUUGCAACACUGACCCCUUUGGCCUUCAAUGGAUAGGAUUUUCCCCAGAGUUUUUAGUUCCCCAAUAAAAGCCCUCUCCCUAGAUGCUUGCUCUCUUGCUAACCUCUUUGUAAAAC
rnacentral:lncRNA from 1 species